rnacentral:tRNA from 1 species
GCCUGGGUGGCUCAGUCGGUUAAGUGUCUGACUUUGGCUUAGGUUGUGAUCUCAUGGUUUGUGGGUUUGAGCCCCGCAUCAGGCU